CCGUCGCUCGCCGUCGUUUGUGCGUUGUGCAGGUCCUGUUUCGCCGUUGUUCGCCGUCGCUAGCUCACCGUUCACCUCACUCUCAUUCUCUCUCAGUCUCGCCGUUGUUCCGCAGUCGCUCGUCGUCGCUCGUGCAGCUCUGUGGUCCACUUUGAUUCCUUGCGUUAAGUUUGCAGUGUUCAUGUGAGGUGAACGGUGACCUGGUUACAGAUGAAACGGUAGGAGUGUAGGAUGGUAAUGUCGGAGAUGUUAAGAAUGUGGGUGGGGGUGACAUAGACAUGCACUUGCUGACACCAAAAAGUUGACCCUUUUGGGCUGUGAUGAGAUGAGAAGAACAUGUUCUAUUCCCCUUCUAUUUCAUUACAUGGAAAACAUGGAAUCAUUCACCAUAGAUUUUAAUACUCGAGCGUUAUGCAUUGAUUUGAUUCCUUCUAUUCAUGAUUGAAACUCAACUGAAGUGAUCCACUCUUAGUUUGAGCUCUGAGGUUUAACUGAAGCCGACCAAUAUCUAAACUUAACGGGUUCCUUUAUUCGGCUGAGUAUGGCGGAGAGCCAAGAUCAACUAGAGAUCAAGUUUCGAUUGAGUGACGGGUCGGAUAUUGGCCCCAAAAGUUUUGCUGCUGCUACUAGAAUUGCAGCACUGAAAGAAAGUAUUCUUGCUCAAUGGCCGAAAGACAAGGAGUAUGGCCCAAAAACUGUAAAAGAUGUGAAGUUAAUUAAUGCCGGAAAAAUAUUGGAGAACAGAACAGUGGGGGAAUGCCAGAGUCCAUUGUGAAAUCCCCCUGGUGGAGCUAUGGCGCUAUAUUAUUAUGUCCUUUUACACUAAAAUGUAUAACUUACUUCGAUGAUAGUUUUUUAUAUAGAGCUAUGGCGGUUUAUCAAUUGGCUGAGGGUAAUAAAAAAAAGACUCAAUGGCUUCAUCCCAAAGCAAGGUUGCAGCCUAAUUUAUGCUUAUGGUGCUGGUGGCUUUCCUGCUUGGGGCAUUAAUUUGCUGAACUGUUGCUGUUUUGCCGAAUUGUUGCUGUGUUGCUGUUUAACUAUUUUGUCAUAAUUUCAUGAGUUGUUGCUGUUUAACUACAUUUAAAGAACUAGAAUUGCUGAAUUGUUCUAGUUCUUUUUAGGCUAUUAUGGUUUUUUUUAUUUCCUGGGACCUUGGAUGUUUAACUCACUUGAGAGAGUGUGUUCUCAAGAUCUCUUUUUAUUUUAAUAAAUUUUCAUUAAAAAAAAUAUGUA